rnacentral:rRNA from 1 species
UACGUAGGGGGCUAGCGUUGUCCGGAAUCAUUGGGCGUAAAGAGCUCGUAGGCGGUCUGUCGCGUCGGCUGUGAAAACCCGGAGCUCAACUCCGGGCCUGCAGUCGAUACGGGCAAACUGGAGUGUUGCAGGGGAGACUGGAAUUCCUGGUGUAGCGGUGAAAUGCGUAGAGAUCAGGAAGAACAUCGGUGGCGAAGGCGCUCUGCUGGACCAUAACUGACACUCAGGGACGAAAGCUAGAGGAGCGAAUGGG